rnacentral:rRNA from 1 species
GCAGGGGGAGCGAAUCCCAAAAAUAAACGUCCCAGUUCGGAUUGUAGUCUGCAACCCGACUACAUGAAGCUGGAAUCGCUAGUAAUCGCGGAUCAGAAUGCCGCGGUGAAUACGUUCCCGGGUCUUGUACACACCGCCCGUCACACCAUGGGAGCCGGGAAUGCCCGAAGUCGGUGACCCAACCGUAAGGAGGGAGCCGCCGAAGGCAGGCCUGGUAACUGGGGUGAAGUCGUAACAAGGUACC